CAGCAGCCGCGGGAAUACGAAGGGGGCUAGCGUUGUUCGGAUUUACUGGGCGUAAAGGGCGCGUAGGCGGGCGAUUUAGUCAGGGGUGAAAUCCCAAGGCUCAACCUUGGAACUGCCUUUGAUACUGAUCGUCUUGAGUUCGAGAGAGGUAAGUGGAACUGCGAGUGUAGAGGUGAAAUUCGUAGAUAUUCGCAAGAACACCAGUGGCGAAGGCGGCUUACUGGCUCGAUACUGACGCUGAGGCGCGAAAGCGUGGGGAGCAAACAGGAUUAGAUACCCGUGUAGUCCCUGUCUCUUAUAC
rnacentral:rRNA from 1 species